rfam:Gossypium hirsutum cultivar TM-1 chromosome 6, whole genome shotgun sequence
AAUCCAUGGUGAGGGCAUCUUCACAAAAGGUCCUUGUAUCUUUCCUAUACAUCGUAGAGUGUUUCUAAAUCUAUCUGCACAAAAGAGGAGAUAUAAUUACGUAAUU